rnacentral:rRNA from 1 species
AUUGAACGCUGGCGGAAUGCUUUACACAUGCAAGUCGAACGGCAGCACGGGUGCUUGCACCUGGUGGCGAGUGGCGAACGGGUGAGUAACAUAUCGGAACGUACCCAGUAAUGGGGGAUAACUAAGCGAAAGCUUAGCUGAUACCGCAUACGCCCUGAGGGGGAAAGCGGGGGACCGAAAGGCCUCGCGUUAUUGGAGCGGCCGAUAUCUGAUUAGCUAGUUGGUGGGGUAAAGGCCCACCAAGGCGACGAUCAGUAGCUGGUCUGAGAGGAUGAUCAGCCACACUGGAACUGAGACACGGUCCAGACUCCUACGGGAGGCAGCAGUGGGGAAUUUUGGACAAUGGGGGCAACCCUGAUCCAGCCAUUCCGCGUGAGUGAAGAAGGCCUUCGGGUUGUAAAGCUCUUUCGGCAGGGAAGAAACGCUCUGGGUUAAUAACCUGGGGUAAUGACGGUACCUGAAGAAGAAGCACCGGCUAACUACGUGCCAGCCGCCGCGGUAACAC